GCAUGAUCAACAGUUGUCUAUUCUCUGUCUCUUUUACAAGCCAACGAAGGAGAGAGAGUUCUUUCUGGGGGUUGAAGAAAGAUUCGUCAGCGAUUGACGGAGAGAGAUCUGGCGUGGAUUGUGACUGGGUCGGAGGGAACGACUGCUAGACGGCUAAGAGAGACUGUGAAUCGAUUCGGCAAACAGGGAUUUCGAUUGGUCAUCUUCUCCGGCGAGAGAGAAAGAGCAAUGGACUCUCCGUUAUCAAAAACCGAUGCGUCGAAAGAGAAAUUUGUGGGUUUACCACGGCCAUCAACAACGACGACUGAUUCAAAUGCAAUGAGAGGUUGAGGACUCGCUAAUCUUACAUGGGUUGGUGUUGAUAAAGUGGAGCUUCGUCAUAAGCUUAUGAUGCCUGAGUAUCUCCGUCUAGCUAUGCGUGACUGUAUCAAACGGAAAGAUUCAACCAGAUUUAUGUGGUCAUGCCCCAAUUAAUGGUUGUUUUCGUUAUCCCCAAAUCUGGUGGUCGUCAUGGUCUUGUGCUUAAAGAGAGACUUCAACUGUUGAUGAGCGGAGAACAGAUACGGGUUGGCAUGUUUGGACUUUGGAGACAGUGGCAGCGAAAGGAGAUGAAUGUGCUACAGAAUGCAGAGCAAGGUUGAAGAUUAUGAAAUGUUGACAAGGCUCUAUUUGCCGUAAGGUUGUAUGAUUUUCGAGUAAUGAGACUGAGGUCCGUCGACGGUGCUUUCGAUUGUGGCUCUUUCAAGCAAGCUAUCGAUCCCACAUUUGGUUCAAUAUUCUGUUCCAUUUUCUGGUUUUGCAAAAAAUGAUCUUAUAUCAUUUUCUUUUGCAAUGCUAUUGCCCAGUUUGGGUUCUGAAUGUAGUAUCUUGUAGGGUUUAGUGAACCUUCUUUUUAUGUGUUAAAUUCAGAAUUGUUCUAAUA